GUACCGCCUCUGCACCUUGGCCCAAGACCUAACAGCAACAAAAUAAGGCAGCCAUCGAUGUCCAGGUUCACCCUGCAUCCCUCCUCUACAGCGACUCCAGAUGCUCUGCUUUUGGUAUAUUAAGAACACA